rnacentral:rRNA from 1 species
GACGAACGCUGGCGGCGUGCUUAACACAUGCGAGUCGAACGGAAAGGCCCUGCUUUUGUGGGGUGCUCGAGUGGCGAACGGGUGAGUAACACGUGAGUAACCUGCCCUUGACUUUGGGAUAACUUCAGGAAACUGGGGCUAAUACCGGAUAGGAGCUCCUGCUGCAUGGUGGGGGUUGGAAAGUUUCGGCGGUUGGGGAUGGACUCGCGGCUUAUCAGCUUGUUGGUGGGGUAGUGGCUUACCAAGGCUUUGACGGGUAGCCGGCCUGAGAGGGUGACCGGCCACAUUGGGACUGAGAUACGGCCCAGACUCCUACGGGAGGCAGCAGUGGGGAAUAUUGCACAAUGGGCGGAAGCCUGAUGCAGCAACGCCGCGUGCGGGAUGACGGCCUUCGGGUUGUAAACCGCUUUCGCCUGUGACGAAGCGUGAGGGACGGUAAUGGGUAAAGAAGCACCGGCUAACUAAGU